rnacentral:rRNA from 1 species
GAUGAACGCUGGCGGCGUGCCUAAUACAUGCAAGUCGAGCGAACAGACGAGGAGCUUGCUCCUCUGACGUUAGCGGCGGACGGGUGAGUAACACGUGGAUAACCUACCUAUAAUACUGGGAUAACUUCGGGAAACCGGAGCUAAUACCGGAUAAUAUAUUGAACCGCAUGUUUCAAUAGUUAAAGACGGUUUUGCUGUCACUUAUAGAUGUAUCCGCGCCGCAUUAUCUAGUUGGUAAGGUAACGGCUUACCAAGGCGACGAUGCGUAGCCGACCUGAGAGGGUGAUCGGCCACACUGGAACUGAGACACGGUCCAGACUCCUACGGGAGGCAGCAGUAGGGAAUCUUCCGCAAUGGGCGAAAGCCUGACGGAGCAACGCCGCGUGAGUGAUGAAGGUCUUCGGAUCGUAAAACUCUGUUAUUAGGGAAGAACAAAUGUGUAAGUAACUAUGCACGUCUUGACGGUACCUAAUCAGAAAGCCACGGCUAACUACGUG